rnacentral:rRNA from 1 species
UACGGGGGGAGCAAGCGUUGUUCGGAUUUACUGGGCGUAAAGGGCGCGUAGGCGGUCAGCACAAGUCAGUUGUGAAAUCUCCGGGCUUAACUCGGAAAGGUCAACUGAUACUGUGCGACUAGAGUGCAGAAGGGGCAACUGGAAUUCUCGGUGUAGCGGUGAAAUGCGCAGAUAUCGGGAGGAACACCUAUGGCGAAGGCAGCUCGCUGGGACGUUACUGACGCUGAGACGCGAAAGCGUGGGGAGCAAACAGG